ACCCACGUACCUUGUCUCUCUCUAUCUCUCCCUCCUUCCCUCUCACACACAGACACAAAGAAGAAGAGAGAAGAAAGAGGCGGCUUUUGAAUCUGACUACUCCGGAAUGGGUGAUAAUUAAUGAGAGUCAUCACGGCCUCUUUGAGGACGACAACAAAGAGUAUUCUAGUUUAUGAGGAUACUCUUUCUUUCAACCCUAGCUAGCUAGUUCCAGUUCCUCUCACACUAAUAACUACUGGACGCAAUUACUUUUUUCCUAUCACAUCUUCUCUAAUUAGAUCUAUGCUGGGUCCUAGAUCAUGAAUUUCUUCGAUCAAGGAGGUACACGCCCAUUUUCUCAUUCUUCUUCUUCCAGCCAGAAGAUUAUAGUUCCUGAUUUCUCUUAUCAGCAAAGAAGCACCACUAAUAAUGGUGAAGAUAGUACUGAUCUCGUGAUGAAUAUGGAUCUUGACCCUGCAGAUGAAGUUGGUGAAAGUAAUACGAUUGAGCGAGAACACAUGUUCGAUAAGGUAGUCACUCCCAGUGACGUCGGCAAGCUCAAUCGGUUAGUCAUCCCCAAACAGCACGCUGAAAAGUAUUUUCCUCUGGAUUCCUCUACCAACGAGAAAGGCCUCCUUCUCAAUUUCGAAGACAGGAAUGGAAAGCCUUGGCGCUUCAGAUAUUCCUAUUGGAAUAGCAGUCAAAGCUAUGUAAUGACCAAAGGUUGGAGCCGCUUCGUCAAGGAGAAGAAGCUCGAUGCUGGGGAUAUUGUCUCAUUUCAGCGUGGAGUCGGUGAAUUGGGCAAGGAUCGUCUCUUCAUCGACUGGAGGCGCCGUCCAGACGCCCCCGACCAUCUCCACUACACCCACUUCACUAAUCAUCAUCUCCAUAAUACCUUGUACAGCUCUAAUAUUCAGUACCCAGCUGCUGCUGCUUGGAAUCGUCCUCUCUUUUUGCAGCCUCCUCCUCCUCCUGACCAUUCACAUUUACAAUAUUCCCUGGAACCUGCAGCUGGCAGCAUGUCUCAUCAUCAUCAACAACAAUCUCACGGAUCCAGUCCUAAUUAUUACUACGACACUUGUAAUUUCAACAACAGCCGUACAGCCGUGGUAAAUGGAAACCCUUGUCCGAGCGGGUCAGUAGUUUAUCUCAGAUCGGGGUCAGCCCAAGUCCCACAACAGGCUGGGUUAAUGAAAUUAAGAGGUCAUAGUAAUAGUACUAGUGGCAGGGUUGUGGAGCCAGUGGUGUUCGACUCCGUACCGGUUGUUCAAGGCAAGGCAGCAGCAAAGCGAUUCAGGUUGUUCGGUGUGAAUAUGGACUGUCCCAUCUCAGACUCGGAUGAAUCAUGUGAAAUCACGUCCUCGUCUUCUCCCUUGCCUAAUCCCGCCACUACAGCAACUUAUUCUCAUGUCCCCCAAUUUUCAUCAUUAUCAUUCAGAACUUUUAACAACUAUGAUACCAACCCGCCGGCAGCCACCGAAGAAGAAUCGUUCGACAAAGGUUGUUGUUCUUGUCGCUGCUUCGUUGGGCACGCCCCCCAGGUACUGCGAUUGCUUCAGAUCUAGCUAGCUAGCUAGCUAGCUUUUAUAAAAGUAGUGCACAUAUAUUAAAGAUCUCUACGAUAUAUAUUUACACUACUCAGGGUUUGUCAUCCGAUCGAUUUUGAGCUUGGAUAUACAUACAGGAUUUUGCUGGUUUGAUAUUCGAAGUAAGCAUUUGCCUUAGUUCCGGUGAGGAUAUAUAAAUGAUGUCAAAAGGUACAAAGCACCUGACCUCUUCAAUUCACUACAAGAAAAGAAUGAACAAGGUUCAAUUUCUACAAAUUGGAUCACUCUUGAAAGCAUAACACAAAUUACAUAAAAAUAUAAGAGUUUCAGAAAUGUGCAUACUUAAUCUGUAUUCUAUUUAGGUAUAUUUGCAUGAAGAAUUGAAUUUUCUUGGGCAUAUAUAUCUCUUUCUUCGAUUGUGUUUGGUUCUUUGCUCCAAUGUUAUUUUGAUAAAGGUUCCUUUCCUUGCUAGCAAACAUGAGUGUUGACACCGAGUGCACUUUAACCCUGACCAAUGUACUGUAUCGAAAUAGUUAUACUCUAUGCAUAUAUAAAAUUUUAGGCAUGGUCAUCCAAAUUGUCAUAGCUAUACGCUACCUACAAAAAUGUAUAUAGGGAGACCACCUUAAACUUAUCAUGUAAAUUCAACGAGAGAAGAAAAUAUAGAUGGCCCUAUUUAUGAAGGAGAGAGAGAAAGAGGAAAGAAUUUGAGGAGUAUAUCAUACCAUUCUCUACUAAGUCCAAAACAUUUUUCUUACACACAUGUUUUUAGUACCUUUUCGGCUAGGAUUUUGACGGGGCUAGCUAAAAGUUCCGAGUUUACUGGCAGGUCAUAUCUCUUUUUUUUUUUUUUUUAGUUAAACAAUGUAAUCUGCUCAAAUAUUACUAGAAGCAAAAACUGAACCAUGCAGUACAGGUAGCAUCUUUAAAAGAUAGAUUAAGUUGAAAUCUCAAUCUCAAGCAAAAUUUCACCUUCGAUAAAAAAACUACGUUUACACUCUAAUACUUGAUAGGUUCAAUAACUGCAAGUUGAG